UGAAUACGAGACGCUAAGGCGUCGAAGUAGUGUAUGUCAUACUUCCAAGAAAAGCUUGCACUGUCAUAGAUAAAAAACGCCUGUACCAUAACCGACACAGGUGGGUAGGUAGAGUAUACUAAGGGGCGCGAGAUAACUCUCUCUAAGGAACUCGGCAAAAUAACUCCGUAACUUCGGGAGAAGGAGUGCCUUAUUCGUAAGGUUGCAAUAACAAGAUCCAAGCAACUGUUUAUCAAAAACACAGGUCUCCGCUAAGUCGUAAGACGAUGUAUGGGGGCUGACGCCUGCCCAGUGCCAGAAGGUUAAAGAAGUUGGUUAGCAAUUGCGAAGCUGAUAACUGAAGCCCUGGUGAACGGCGGCCGUAACAAUAACGGUCCUAAGGUAGCGAAAUUCCUUGUCGGGUAAGUUCCGACCCGCACGAAAGGCGUAAUGAUUUGGAUACUGUCUCGGAGAGGGGCUCGGUGAAAUAGACUUGUCUGUGAAGAUGCGGACUACCUUCACUAGGACAGAAAGACCCUAUGAAGCUUUACUGUAACUUGAAAUUGAAAUUGGACUUUAUUCGCGCAGUAUAGGUGGGAGGCGUUGAUUAUAAUCUUGUGGGAUUAUUGGAGCCAUCAGUGAGAUACCACUCUUGUAAUGUUAGAUUUCUAACUUUGAAUCAUUAUCUGGUCAAAGAACAGUUUCAGGCGGGCAGUUUGACUGGGGCGGUCGCCUCCUAAACGGUAACGGAGGCGUACAAAGGUUUCCUCUGAACGGUUAGAAAUCGUAUCUAGAGUGUAAAGGCAUAAGGAAGCUUGACUGUGAGACCUACAAGUCGAGCAGGGACGAAAGUCGGUCUUAGUGAUCUGACAGUACUGAGUGGAAAGGCCGUCACUCAACGGAUAAAAGUUACUCUAGGAUAACAGGCUGAUCUCCCCCAAGAGUUCACAUCGACGGGGAGGUUUGGCACCUCGAUGUCGGCUCAUCGCAUCCUGGGGCGGUAGUACGUCCCAAGGGUUGGGCUGUUCGCCCAUGAAAGCGGUACGCGAGCUGGGUUCAGAACGUCGUGAGACAGUUCGGUCCAUAUCCGGUGUAGGCGUUAGAAUAUUGAGAGGAGCCUUCUUUAGUACGAGAGGACCGAGAAGGACAUACCUCUGGUGUACCAGUUAUCGUGCCAACGGUAAACGCUGGGUAGCUAUGUAAGGAGUGGAUAACCGCUGAAAGCAUCUAUGUGGGAAGCCCACCUCAAGAUAAGUAUUCUCAU
rnacentral:rRNA from 1 species